AAUGGGUAGGGAGAGUCAGGAGCUGUGAGGGAACAACCCCACCACCUCUCUCCCUCCCCCUACUCCAAUUCAACUCCAGCAGAAGAACACUGACUGAGGGCAGAGCCAGGCCUCAUCCUGACCUUCAUGGCCUUCCCUACACAGACAGUGGCAGCUACAGUACCAGGAGAUACAAUGAAGGGCCUGCCACGCUUCCUAAUGCUAAGCCACCAUUGCUCUACUUCUCCUGUCUGCGGCACCGCUGUCUGGUGGAGCUCUCCGGUCUGCCUCCAUUUUCAUAGCCACUGAUUGCUGUGUUGCUCCAGGUACCACUGAUGCUGCUCCCAGGAACUGCUGUCCGUGGAACUGAAAAAACAAACAGGAGUGAUUUACAUGAUAAUACCUCUGACUGAUAUUGCAAAUACUGAUGUCAUCUUACAGACAAUAAAAAUGGAUAUCCUUAGUAAUGUU